ensembl:snoRNA small nucleolar RNA SNORD50
GUACUGUGAUGAACGCUUAUCCCGAAGCUGACUUCUUUUUUUGAUGACACAACUUACGGAUCUGACUUCUGAGUU